UUUUAAAGUUAUAAAACCCACGAUUCCCCCUCUCCAGCCGCCGCCGUUGGGGAUAUUGAAUCGUGAUGCCACUGUUACAGUUGAGAGUGCAAGAAGCUGCAUAUGAUUGCAAUAGUAGCACUUGAAUUGGUUGAGGUUAUUAGAAAUGGGCUAAAGAUUCAUCGGUAUCGAGUCCAUCUUCGGAUUCUCUAUUCCUUUUUCAUUCAGCAGGUGAAACCAUCAUAGGCGUAAGACCACUCAUUCAACAUUUUUCAAUCGGGAAUGCUUUAUGUCGUAGUGUUAACAAGCGUAUACACUCCACACUUUUCAAUCCCAACCCGUAUAUGUUCAGCAAAUACUCAUUUGCUUUUAGAGGCGGAACGUCUCUUAUCCACUCCAUAUCCUUGCUCCCGAAGUUAUCAACUAACUCCGUAAGACAAUCCUUUAUCCUUUCAGCCAAAUUGUUGUUCUGUCCUCUUAUCUGAAUGGCCUUAGAUAUCUCACCAACUCCGGCCCUCCUAACUGAAUCCUAGUCAACAGCGUCUGAUGCCUUAAACAUCUUCUUCUCGUUCUGAUUUUGGAGUGGUAAUCUUUCAUAUCAUUCAGAAGUGCAGGGUUGUGUUUUUUCUUGGUUCACAUCCUCAAAGUUUUAUCUUCUUUAACCUGUUUAACUCGUUUCCCCUCAUGCACAAUACUGUUUGAAUUUCUCGAAAAUAUAGCAGCUAGCAACAUGAAGGCCGGACUUGAAAUUGCAUCAUUCACGUUAUGUGCAAGUUAUGCUCCAACUAUAGAGUCCAUAACCGAACCUUUCCUCUUAGAAAAUUUUCUUUCACCUUGGAUAUGAUUUAUGCUUGACUGUCCAAUAAUGAUAGUACUUUUCAUCACGCUCUCCACUGCAUUCGAAGUACUAUCAUUAUUGGAUAGCCAGAUUGAGUUGUUUAUGUCACACAUGAAUUACAUCCAAGGUGAAAAAAAAAUUUCUGAGUGGAAAGGUUCGGUCAUGAACUCUAUAGUUGGAGCAUAUCUUGCACAAAACGUGAAUGAUGCGAUUUCAAGCCCGACCUUCAUGUUGCUAGCUGCUAUAUUUUCGAGAAAUUCAGGCAGUGUUUUGCAUAAAGGGAAUCAUAUGUUAAAGAAGAUAAAACCUUGAGGAUGUGAACCAAGAAAAAACAAAAUCUUGCACUUCUGAAUGAUAUGAAAGAUUGUCACUCCAAAUAUCAGAACAAGAAGAUGUCUGAUGCAUCAGACGCUGUUAACUGAGAUUCGGUUAAGAGGGCCGGAGUUGGUGAGAUAUCUAAGGCCAUUCAGAUAAGAAGACAGAACAACAAUUUGGCUGAAUGGAUAAAGGAUUGCCUUACGCAGUUAUAGUUGAUAACAUUGGAUAAGAGACGCUGCACCUCUAAAAGCAAAGGAGUACUUGCUGAACAUACACGGUCUGGUAUUGAAAAAGUGUGGAGUGCAUACGCUUGUUAACACUAUGAUAUAAAGCAUUCACGAUUGACAGAAAUGUUGGACGAGUGGUCUUACGCCAAGGAUGGUUUCACCUACUGAAUGAAAAAAGAAUAGAGAAUCUGGACUCGAUAUAGAUGCAUCUUUGGCCCAUCUCUAAUAUGGUAUCAGAGCGCGCUCAAGUCGAUGAUAGAUUUUAUCACGCCUAUUAGAAGUAGAAGACACUCUGAUGGGAUCUUCACGGACCGAAAAAGAUUGCAGUCCGUUCGAUAAUGAUCGAGUUACAUUGCUUCUUCGGCUUUUACCGAGGAAUCCCUUAGAUAUGAGAUUUCUCUAUGAAAAAUACGAAUCGGAGUUUGAAGAAGGGGGAGGCAAGGAGCCCUUGACCUGCAAUAGAUAGAGGAGGAUUUAUUCAAUCACAUAGUUUGGGCUUUCUCUUGCCUACCCACGUGAUGGAAGUUCGAUGUAUCAUUCCAGCCCACAGGUGGGGGUGUUAAAGCUAUAAAUCUUGUUCCACAUCGACACGGAGACGAUCCUAUCUCAUCUAUAUAAGAGUGGAUAACCCUGCCCCUUAUAAAGCCUUUUUAGGGGUGAGUGACCCAUUUCAAAUAGAGGUUAGUAAUUAUGAUUGGAGCUUCUUCAGAUAUGCUAAUGCUACACUAGUCAUGCCUUCUAGUCCAUUGCUGAAGUUGUCCGGUGAUGGAAAAACAUUAGAAGCAGAGGCUGCUCACGGGACUGCACCAACAGUAUUGCCUCUAUAUUUGCAUGGACGCAAGGAUUAUAACAUAAGCCAAGCUCGAUGCUAAUGAAAAACUGCCAGAAGAAGCGUGCAUCGGGACUGUGGAAUCUGGAAAGAUGACUAAAGAUCUUUCUCUUCAAAUCCACAGGCCAAAGGUUUCGAGGGCGUUUUACUUGAGCACCGAAGACUUUAUCGACGCCAUUGCACAAAAUCUCGAGUCGAAGUGAAAAUUCAUAUGCUGUAGUUUCGGUACAUGUUAUGUGAAUGUGAUAUGCACCCUCUCAGUUUCAACUAAAAUAUCAAUGGAAUCAGUGUAAUUAGCUUACAGUGAAAAACAUGGCCCUGUAUAUAUUGAUUUACAUACGUCUUUUCUUUUCUUUU